rnacentral:rRNA from 1 species
CUUCUUUCCUCCCGAGUGCUUGCACUCAAUUGGAAAGAGGAGUGGCGGACGGGUGAGUAACACGUGGGUAACCUACCCAUCAGAGGGGGAUAACACUUGGAAACAGGUGCUAAUACCGCAUAACAGUUUAUGCCGCAUGGCAUAAGAGUGAAAGGCGCUUUCGGGUGUCGCUGAUGGAUGGACCCGCGGUGCAUUAGCUAGUUGGUGAGGUAACGGCUCACCAAGGCCACGAUGCAUAGCCGACCUGAGAGGGUGAUCGGCCACACUGGGACUGAGACACGGCCCAGACUCCUACGGGAGGCAGCAGUAGGGAAUCUUCGGCAAUGGACGAAAGUCUGACCGAGCAACGCCGCGUGAGUGAAGAAGGUUUUCGGAUCGUAAAACUCUGUUGUUAGAGAAGAACAAGGACGUUAGUAACUGAACGUCCCCUGACGGUAUCUAACCAGAAAGCCACGGCUAACUACGUGCCAGCAGCCGCGGUAAUACGUAGGUGGCAAGCGUUGUCCGGAUUUAUUGGGCGUAAAGCGAGCGCAGGCGGUUUCUUAAGUCUGAUGUGAAAGCCCCCGGCUCAACCGGGGAGGGUCAUUGGAAACUGGGAGACUUGAGUGCAGAAGAGGAGAGUGGAAUUCCAUGUGUAGCGGUGAAAUGCGUAGAUAUAUGGAGGACACCAGUGGCGAGGCGGCUCUUGGUCUGUACUGACGCUGAGCUCGAAGCGU